UCCCGCACCCGCACGCACACCCCGAGUCCCCGACCAGUCCACCCUCCUCAAUCCCCCUCGACUGGCGGCGGCGACGCAAGUCCUGGCUCCUGCUAUGGCGAGGCCCCGGCGCUGCUGGACCUCGUCGGCCUGACGAGCGGCGGCUGCGACCGCAGCCCCGACCAGUUCACCGUCCUCGAGACCCCAAGUCCCCAACCCACCCUGUCUCGAUCCAUCGACAGGCAGCGGUGUUGCAGCUCUGGCACUGCAAUGGCGCGGCCCCGGCGGUCCUUUCCCUCCUCGACCUCAUCCUCCUCUAGGGCCAUGCAGCGACGCUUCCUCCCCAUCAGACGGCGGUGCUCCCUCCCCAUCCGACCGCGGCGCUCCCUCCCCAUCCGAAGGCGGCGCUCCCUCCCGAUUUGACGGCGGCGCGCCCUCCCCAUCCAAUGCCAGCGACCGGCAGGCAUGGCUAGUUUGUGGAGUCUAAGUGAUGAAGUUCAUGAAGAGGAAGAGGAGGAUUAUGAUCCCAGUGUUGAACAGGACAAUGCUGCCACAAGUGCAAGGUUGGACCAGAUCGUUGUGGCUAAUCCUGCUCGUCGUCGUGCUGCCCCAUCAGCUACUGCUACAGCAGCACCUCGCAGCAAGCGUACAAGGUUGAACCAAGAGGGACAUCAGCCACCCGAUGGACAUGAAGCAAGUCAGCCGCCAUCGCCACCGGCACCGCCAGGACCAAAGGAAAAUGAUGAAGUUGAGAUAGCUUGAUGGAACAAGGAAGAGAUGGAUUCAAAGGAGUCAUCAGCUUGUGGCUUUGAACUUGCUAUUUGAUAUCUUUAUUAUGUAAUGGACUUGUUAUUUGAUAUGUUGUUAUGUAAUCAACUUGUUGAACUAUGUUGUGGACUUAUUGAACUAUGUUGUGGACCUAUCGAACCAUGUUGCGGACUUGUCAAACUAUGUUGCUUGUGUCUUUGGACUUGAGAAAUAUGUUGUUGUUAUGUAAUAAUGUAAUGAAUGGAUUACAUGUAUAUGUAUAUGCUGCUGUUUUGUGAAAUGCAGCUAUUUUGUGAAAUAUGUA